AGCCUUUACAUACACUCAUUUUAACUUAUUAAAAAUUAACUGGUCAUUUAAUACAGUGAAUACCCCAACAUGGAUUCAUAAGUCAUUAUUAACUACUACAAAUACCCCGACAUGGAUUCAUAAGUCAUUAUUAACUACUACAAAUACCCCGACAUGGAUUCAUAAUCAUUAUUAACUACUACAAAUGCCCCAUCAUAAGUCAUUAACUACUACAAAUACCCCAUCAUAAUAG